GGCCCCGGCCGGUGAAGCCCGGGUCCCCGCCCCCGGGCAGGAGGGUCACGGCAUCGGUGGGGGCGCUCAGCCGCCGCCGCCGCCGCGGCCCGGGGCUCAGCGGUCCAGUCUUCUGCCCGCGGCGCGGCUGGAGCGGCGGCGUCGGCAACAGACCAGGAGACCUCGAUCUCACCCUGACGCCCUUAGUCUGUCUCUUGUCGCUGCCGCUCCACUGAAACCACUCUCUUCAAGGGCAUCCUCACCUUCCACAUUGCCCAGGCCAUGACCAAAGACCCAAGUUUCCUCACACAGUGGCAGCUCAAGGGGUUCCUGAGGCCCAUCUGCCUGGUACCUGGCAUAGAUUUCUGCACAGAGGUCACCUCCGUGGGAAGAGACUAGGAUGAGGUUUCUGUGGAUGUCAAGACCAGCCUUCAGCCCGUGUUCUGAUGCAACCGCAGCUGCUGCAGGGCCCACAGCCUGAGGGGCUUCACAGGUUGAUGUGGUCAUCUCAGUUUCCUCAGAUGGAACGUGAGCAGAAGGGAUGUGUUCUAGCGUCAGGCCUAAGCCACAAAAAGCCCCUGGGAACACUCCUCCAUUCUUGGCAGCUUCCAUCAGCUGGACACAGAUGACGAUGAGGAGCCAGGGAAAAGUGAAGCCGCAAACUAGAGGGAGGCUGGG
ensembl:lncRNA